GGUGGGAUGCCCGAGUGGCCAAAGGGACCCGGCUGUAAACCGGUUGGCUUCGCCUACGCAGGUUCGAAUCCUGCUCCCACCA
rnacentral:tRNA from 1 species